rnacentral:sRNA from 1 species
CCUUCGGCCUCCUCCCCUGGGGCCGCAGCGACUCGGGCCGGCUUCCUGCUUCCCUGCCUGCCGGCGGUCCCGCUGGCUAGAAGAGGUCUUCAGUUCCCAGGAGAGCCAAAGCGUGUCUGGCCCUAGGUGGGAAAAGAACUGGCUGUGACCUUUGCCCUGACCUGGAAGGGCCCAGCCUUGGGCUGAAUGGCAGCACCCACGCCCGCCCGUCCGGUUGGAGCCUCCCCUCUUACGUCUCUGUGCUUGUGGCUCUGGGGAACCUGGGUCUGCUGGUGGUGACCCUCUGGAGGAGGCUGGCCCCAGGAAAGGACGAGCAGGUCCCCAUCCGGGUGGUGCAGGUGCUGGGCAUGGUGGGCACAGCCCUGCUGGCCUCUCUGUGGCACCAUGUGGCCCCAGUGGCAGGACAGUUGCAUUCUGUGGCCUUCUUAGCACUGGCCUUUGUGCUGGCACUGGCAUGUUGUGCCUCGAAUGUCACUUUCCUGCCCUUCUUGAGCCACCUGCCACCUCGCUUCUUACGGUCAUUCUUCCUGGGUCAAGGCCUGAGUGCCCUGCUGCCCUGCGUGCUGGCCCUAGUGCAGGGUGUGGGCCGCCG